rnacentral:rRNA from 1 species
GAGUUUGAUCCUGGCUCAGGACGAACGCUGGCGGCGUGCUUAACACAUGCAAGUCGAACGAGAAUCUGUGGAAAGAGGAUUCGUCCAAUUGAAGCAGAGGACAGUGGCGGACGGGUGAGUAACGCGUGAGGAACCUGCCUUUCAGAGGGGGACAACAGUUGGAAACGACUGCUAAUACCGCAUAACGCAUAGAAGUCGCAUGGCUUUUAUGCCAAAGAUUUAUCGCUGAAAGAUGGCCUCGCGUCUGAUUAGCUAGUUGGUGAGGUAACGGCCCACCAAGGCGACGAUCAGUAGCCGGACUGAGAGGUUGAACGGCCACAUUGGGACUGAGAUACGGCCCAGACUCCUACGGGAGGCAGCAGUGGGGAAUAUUGGGCAAUGGGCGCAAGCCUGACCCAGCAACGCCGCGUGAAGGAAGAAGGCUUUCGGGUUGUAAACUUCUUUUGUCAGGGACGAGAAGAAGACGGUACCUGACGAAUAAGCCACGGCUAACUACGUGCCAGCAGCCGCGGUAAUACGUAGGUGGCAAGCGUUGUCCGGAUUUACUGGGUGUAAAGGGCGUGUAGCCGGGUCGGCAAGUCAGAUGUGAAAUCCACGGGCUUAACUCGUGAACUGCAUUUGAAACUGUUGAUCUUGAGUAUCGGAGAGGCAAUCGGAAUUCCUAGUGUAGCGGUGAAAUGCGUAGA